rnacentral:rRNA from 1 species
ACAACGGAGAGUUUGAUCCUGGCUCAGGAUGAACGCUAGCGACAGGCUUAACACAUGCAAGUCGAGGGGCAGCGGGGAGGAAAGCUUGCUUUUCUCCGCCGGCGACCGGCGCACGGGUGAGUAACACGUAUGCAACCUGCCUCAGACAGGGGGAUAAUCGGCGGAAACGCCGUCUAAUACCGCGUAAAAUCUCAGGGGACAUCCCCUGAGGUAGAAAGGCUUCGGCCGGUCUGAGAUGGGCAUGCGGCGCAUUAGUUAGUUGGCGGGGUAACGGCCCACCAAGACGACGAUGCGUAGGGGUUCUGAGAGGAAGGUCCCCCACACUGGUACUGAGACACGGACCAGACUCCUACGGGAGGCAGCAGUGAGGAAUAUUGGUCAAUGGGCGCGAGCCUGAACCAGCCAAGUCGCGUGAGGGAAGACGGCCCUAAGGGUUGUAAACCUCUUUUGUCAGGGAGCAAACGAGCCUCGUGAGGCUUUAUGAGAGUACCUGAAGAAAAAGCAUCGGCUAACUCCGUGCCAGCAGCCGCGGUAAUACGGAGGAUGCGAGCGUUAUCCGGAUUUAUUGGGUUUAAAGGGUGCGUAGGCGGAAGAUUAAGUCAGCGGUAAAAUCGAGGGGCUCAACCCCUUCCGGCCGUUGAAACUGGUUUUCUUGAGUGGGCGAGAAGUAUGCGGAAUGCGUGGUGUAGCGGUGAAAUGCAUAGAUAUCACGCAGAACUCCGAUUGCGAAGGCAGCAUACCGGCGCUCAACUGACGCUGAGGCACGAAAGCGUGGGGAUCAAACAGGAUUAGAUACCCUGGUAGUCCACGCAGUAAACGAUGAAUACUACCUGUUUGGCCUGCAUGAAGGCUGAGCGGGACAGCGAAAGCGUUAAGUAUUCCACCUGGGGAGUACGCCGGCAACGGUGAAACUCAAAGGAAUUGACGGGGGCCCGC